CAGCAGCCGCGGUAAUACGAAGGGGGCUAGCGUUGUUCGGAAUUACUGGGCGUAAAGCGCACGUAGGCGGAUAUUUAAGUCAGGGGUGAAAUCCCGCAGCUCAACUGCGGAACUGCCUUUGAUACUGGGCAUCUUGAGUAUGGAAGAGGUUAGUGGAAUUGCGAGUGUAGAGGUGAAAUUCGUAGAUAUUCGCAGGAACACCAGUGGCGAAGGCGGCUCACUGCUCGAUACUGACGCUGAGGUGCGAAAGCGUGGGGAGCAAAUGGGAUUAGAUACCCCCGUAGUCCCUGUCUCUUAUACA
rnacentral:rRNA from 1 species